ensembl:lncRNA
AACACUGCCAGGCAUACACAGUCCAGGAGGUUCCUGCAAUGUGUGGAAGGCAACUUCCUGAUGCAGGUGAUGGAGAAGUUAACGAGGAGGAGUGUGUUGAUAGACAUUGGACUGGUCAGGGUUAUGAAGGCUGGGGGUAGCCUUGGAUGCAGUGAUCAAGAGACUGGAGUUCAGGAUCUUGUGUGGAAGAAAUAAAGCAGUAAGUACAAUUACAAUUCUGAACUUCAAGAUAGCCAGCUUUCACCUCUCCAAGACUGUACUUGGAGGUAUUCCAUGGAUUGGAGCAUUGGAAGAUUCCAAAUACCAUCAUCACCUUUGACUUGAGAGUUGCAGCUGAGGCCUUUGGAGAGACAUUUAGGACAUCUGAAGGACAAGACGUUGAAACUCGUGAUUUGAAGGCAGGAAGCGUAUGGAAUACAAAUCACCUCUGAUACACCCCUUGAUUUCUAUUUCUAGUAAAUAUUAUUCACCUAUUAGUCAUUUUCAGGGCUUGUUCUCAUUCAGUCACGUGGCUACAUGGAUGAGUUACUCAUUUUGUAGUAAUGCUGUCUUUGGAAGAUGAGCCACUACUAUCUGAGUGCUAUAGGAGUACGAUGAGCAAAAUUUACUCUGAUGUGACAGCUUUGUUCUGGGCAGCUAUGCCGGUCAGUUUAUGGGCUUUCCAGACAGUAUUUGCAUCCUCCCAUUGCUGAAUGCUCUAUUUCAGCUCCAUGUGUCCAUGCUUGGCUCAAAACUGAAUUACUCCACAUUUAUGCUACUAG